rnacentral:rRNA from 1 species
UACGUAGGGGGCAAGCGUUGUCCGGAAUCAUUGGGCGUAAAGCGCGUGUAGGCGGUCCGGUAAGUCGGUUGUGAAAGUCCAGGGCUCAACCCUGGGAUGCCGAUCGAUACUGCCGGACUAGAGUCCGGAAGAGGCGAGUGGAAUUCUCGGUGUAGCGGUGAAAUGCGCAGAUAUCGGUAGGAACACCAGUGGCGAAGGCGGUCUCCUGGGGCAUUCUUGACGCUGAGGCGCGAAAGCUGGGGGAGCGAACGGG